rfam:Thermoanaerobacter tengcongensis MB4, complete genome.
UUUAUCGUGUGGUGAAAUCUUAAGAAAGCUUAGGGCAAAAUCGCUGCCCGAUGAACAAAAACUACAUAUAUGGCUGCUUGGAACGGAUAAAUAUGAAAAACAAAGCUCAGCAACGCUUAAAGAGUUCCUGUAUUUACGUAUAUCAUAUUUUAUCCAUUGGGGCGCUUAACAUAUGGGGGUGUUUUUAUGAAAAUAGAAUUAAGC